rnacentral:lncRNA from 1 species
UAGUUUCAACCACAUCACAUUUAUUAUUUAGAUGAAGAAAAACACAAAACUUUCUCGUUCAUGAUUGUGCCUCCUCUCUUUCUAUUGAAGCCGCCAAAUCCUAACUACUAAUCAACAACACCUACCAUGAGCCACAAAUCUGUAUCCACUAAGGGAGUUUUCAAAGCCUUGUUGUGAUUCCCUCCUGACUUUGGUUGAGGGCUGCUAGUCCUAGCUUGCACAGGAAUAGGAUUUGUGUGUUCCUCCAAUCUUGGACUGAUCCUCAAAUUCCCUACUAGUUUUCCUUUGGAGUUGAGGAGUUGAAUCGUAGUGGUAUAAGGUAGAGGGUCCACUAUGUCAAUCCUCCCAUGGCCAUAGACAUUGCCCAACAUGUCUUCAAGCUCAAACAACAAAUAUUCCACAGCUUCUAUGGCCAAAUUGUACUCAAAUGAAAAUGUGUCCUCCCAUGCACCUCGGGUUAAUUAUCCAAGAUCUGCUUGGCGUACCUCGUGUAAUGUUGUUGAGUUUUUCUGGCUCCAUCGCAUCUGUACACUACGACAAUUGGCUUGAUUCUGAAAAUACUGUUGAUAAGGCUGAGUAUGCGACACGAGUGGAUGGUGCAGAUCAGAGUCUUGGAUGUAGCAGCCAUCUAUCUACACCAAAAUUCAAAUUCAGGCGUUAAUUCAUGAAUACAAACACCAAUGGAAACGUAAACAAAUCCAUAACUUAACCAACAAAAAAAGAUCCAAGAGGAACUCGAAAACUAUACAUUGAAAUAACAUCAAAACCUAAAUUCACGGAUUACGUUUCAAAAUAAAACCUAUUUUCAUCGCAUAGGUAAAUUGCUCUAUCGAUGUUAAUCCCUAAGUCGACUGAUCGUGUCGUGAUCACAGAACGCAAAUGCUAUCUAAACGGGAAAAAUAAAUCAUGUAAACGAAUAACCAAAUCCUUCAACAUCAAACAGUGACAUCUAGUUCCCGUGUUUAAGUAAAUGGCAUAACUAUGGUAAUUAGGAACUUUGUGUCAUUAAAUGUUCAAAAGGUCAUAACUACCAUCAUCAAUAUAUGAUAAUUUGUCGUGAUGAAAUAAAUUCCUGAACUUAUGAAUUUUUUAUAAUACAAAAAUUGGAAGUAAAAUCUUUUACUUGUGUGCAGUAAAAGAAAAAUACGUUUGUUCGUAAUAUGUUUGCUUCUACAGUUUGAGAGUUAAAAACUAUUGUUUUGGCGGGUGAUUCGUUUUAUGCUACUGGUAGGAAACCUAAAAAAAAGGAUACCACAGUGUACUGCAUAACGUGUGUAUAAGGUUUGCGUGUUUAAGAGGAAAUCAAAGAAAAGCAAUUGAUCGGUUCCUUCCAAAUCAAAGCAGCAAAAUUAAUAUAACUCUAAGACUACACAAAGUAAAAAAUUACAUGGAAUGCAGGAGUAAUUAAUGGAGAAAACCUAUAGGCUAUACGUUGAUGCAAGAAGAUACAAAAAUCCAAGAAAUUCAUCAACUCAUACAAAGAAGAUAUAAAGAAAGAAGAAGAAAAAGAACAAACAAGGGAUAAAGGGAAAGUUUACUUGAUACGUUGAUGCCGGAGUGAUCGGGAAUAUGUUAUGGAGAAAACUUUGGACAGAAGGAGUACGAUGAUGAUGGAGGCUACGUUUUUU